AUCCACUCUGUGGAGAUAUUACUAUGAUGCCAAAGCAGACCCCGGCAACGAAGGUGCCAGAUUCAACCAAAAAGUAGCAACCCUCAAAGAAAAAAGUCUAUGAGAAAAACUUUAACAAGGCAGAUUGAGGAAAAAAAAUGGAAGCAAUGUUCCACAACAGAUGAUGGUUCUUCCAAGAAAACUUAAACCAAGUUUAACGACGUGAUCCAUCAGAUUUACAUCGUGCUAAAAAAUCAACCUUUGGUCACCUCAUAGGAGAAUGUAUAAAUUGGAAGAACUAUCUCGGACAGUUGGUCAACUAAGGAAUAUGUAUAGAGUUUCUCGCGGACGAGGUAAAAUGACAAGCCAAGGAUGCAAAUAUACCAGUGAUCGCAAUGCACAAGGUCAUCCGAAUCAGUUAUGUAAAAUUCGUACCUUAAAUUAAUGUAUUUUAUUUUCGAAGGAUAUGAAAGGAUCAAAAUGCCCAUAGUUGGGUGUCUCAGAUAAUGAUGGAGCUCUGAGUUAAAUUUCAAUUUCUCAUAUUUUCCUAUUUUAUUAAACUAGUUUUCAUACUCAAAAGUGCGUGGGUGAAAGUAGAAUUGAAUUCCGAGUUAUCUGAGUUGAGUUAUGAAUUUAAUUCGAUGGAAAGCAAAAUGGCAAUUUUCCUUGGGAAAUUUUUUUAAGUGGGAUUAACCCA
rnacentral:lncRNA from 1 species